UGGUUUCAUGUUUUCUAUUUGUUUUCAUGGACUUCCUGUUUUAUUUUAAAAUCCACUGUUUGUCUUUAUUCACUUCACUUGUCUUCCUGGCUUUGUUUGUUUCCCGAUUACCCCGAUUUGUGAUUACCUGUGUAUAGU